CAGAAUACGGCAAAAUGCGUUACUAGCAAAAUGUAACACAUUUGAGGAUUUGGAUGCUCUAUAUAGUCCAUAGCAGCCAUUGUCCACAUAUUUUAAUACAGCGACAAACUAUCAACAUAGAGCGUAGGUCAUGUAUACAAUAAGCUUGUUUCUAACUUUAAUGCUUGAACAGCCCUUCUAAAUGCUAUAGUACCAUUGUAGACGAUGUAGUUUAGAUGAGUUUAGUAUUCCACUGCCCUUUUCCUUUCAUCUCAGAAGCUUAAGCACCUCUAUAGUGGGUAGUUGUCCAUAUCAAACGUAACGCUAUGUUAAAGUUAUGUACAUAUUUUUUUCUCUACUUACGUUUGCCGGUAACCGUAUAGCUGACGGAUUGGAUUUUAACAACCGGAAAAAAAUCGAUGCGUAUCCAUACUGAUAUUUAAGCAAUUCUUCCACGGCAAAACUCGAUGAAGUAUAACGACAGAUCUAGCGGGCUAAUGAAAUCACACCAUUCGCUAAUUUUUUACUAGCUUUAACCUUGAUAGUACGCAUAUAACAAAGAAAGACCCUCUUCUAUGAUCGGUUCCAUUAAAAACUCUAAUGGUUGCAAAAUUCGCGUUGUUCAUGAUAUAAUAUGAAAUUCCUUUACUAGUCGCCGUGAAAACCUAAAUCAAAUAAAAUACACACAUAAGCGACAGUAAAAUCCAACAAAAACAGGUUAAUUAAUUAAUAUAGUAGAAGGCAAGUUAUGACACUUUUCAGCUAGCAAAAUCAAAACUUUGAUCCGCUCUCCUCCGUCAGUAGUUAUGGAACAAUCCCGUUAAAUAGUCUAAGGAAAAUUCAAAACCGCCGGCGCUUCCAACCAACAUCAACAUAAUCGCAAGCAAACAGCAUUUAACGCACUAAUAAAUAAAGCUCUUUUGUUUUUUUUAGCCUGCCGUAAGUAGUAGAAACAGUUUAUUUUUAAAGCUAUACAAAUACCUUGUUGUAUCGUUAUUUUUAAAUUUAUUUUGUAUUAGCUUGUCGAAUUUAAAAAAAAUAUACUUGACCACUUUAAUUACGGAAGUGACUGUAAGCCGUUCACUACGAUGUGAUUUUUCAAAGUAAGACAUAAAUAAUCAUACCUCACCAUUUCCUCUCCCUUUAUUAAAAACGAACGAAUGAAAAAAUAUAAAAAAGUAAAACGAAUUAGAACAUCGUAGCUUAAAAUCUAUAACGAAAACAUUGAGAGCCUAUAUUGCAAUAGUUUAUUAAAAUCAGAGUCUGAAGACACAUGAAAAAAAAAACUGUACAUUCGUAUGAAUUGACCCUAUGACUACUGUAUUGAGAAAUUUACGUGUCUUGUAUUCCAUAUUCUUACAAACAGAAAAAAAUGCUACAUAGUAUAUUUAUAAAUUUUAGCGUUUCUUACCACAUCAAUAUCCUAUAUAUUUAUAUUUAUCGUGUAUUCGACA